rnacentral:rRNA from 1 species
GACGAACGCUGGCGGCGUGCUUAACACAUGCAAGUCGAACGGAAAGGCCCUGCUUUUGUGGGGUGCUCGAGUGGCGAACGGGUGAGUAACACGUGAGUAACCUGCCCUUGACUUUGGGAUAACUUCAGGAAACUGGGGCUAAUACCGGAUAGGAGCUCCUGCUGCAUGGUGGGGGUUGGACAGUUUCGGCGGUUGGGGAUGGACUCGCGGCUUAUCAGCUUGUUGGUGGGGUAGUGGCUUACCAAGGCUUUGAUGGCUAGCCGGCCUGAGAGCGUGACCGGCCACAUUGGGACUACGAUACGGCGCAGACUCCUACGGGAGGCAGCGGUGGAAAAUAUGGCACAGUGGGCGGAAGUGUGUUACGACAGCGCUGCGAGCGGGAUGACGGCCUACUGGUUGUAAACCGCUUUAACCUGUGACGAAGCGUGAGUGACGGUAAUGGGUAAAGAAGCACCGGCUAACUACGUG